GACCAGCCACACUGGAACUGAGACACGGUCCAGACUCCUACGGGAGGCAGCAGUGGGGAAUAUUGCACAAUGGGCGCAAGCCUGAUGCAGCCAUGCCGCGUGUAUGAAGAAGGCCUUCGGGUUGUAAAGUACUUUCAGCGGGGAGGAAGGGAGUAAAGUUAAUACCUUUGCUCAUUGACGUUACCCGCAGAAGAAGCACCGGCUAACUCCGUGCCAGCAGCCGCGGUAAUACGGAGGGUGCAAGCGUUAAUCGGAAUUACUGGGCGUAAAGCGCACGCAGGCGGUUUGUUAAGUCAGAUGUGAAAUCCCCGGGCUCAACCUGGGAACUGCAUCUGAUACUGGCAAGCUUGAGUCUCGUAGAGGGGGGUAGAAUUCCAGGUGUAGCGGUGAAAUGCGUAGAGAUCUGGAGGAAUACCGGUGGCGAAGGCGGCCUCCUGGACGAAGACU
rnacentral:rRNA from 1 species